CGCUGUCAGAAACGUAUCACCGGAAUAUCAUCGGACACUCGGUGGAGGGUCGACACGACGAGUACAAACAAUCACGCGGCAAUUUUUUAAUCGAUUGUACUCACGUCUAUUAUUUACAUGUCAAGCUUAACGUAAUAAUAUCACGUACAUACGUUCUCGGCCUGUAUUCACUCUCCCAACGAAACGCGACCACGCCAUCUUACUGCCGGCCAAUGCUGCCAACCUGUCAAAUUGCACGCUUGUGAUGCCUAGACUGUCGCAGCGAACUUCGCGCUCUUUAUCGCGAAGUGCUCGCGCACUUAUAGUACAUUUCCUGUCGACCUGGCUGAGAAAAUGUUUCAUAAAAGACGUGAAAGAGAAUUUUUCCAAAGUGCUCUUACUUUACUCAUCAAUCUGCGAUGAGUGUCACAUUUGCAUUCCAUCAAAAGGGAUUGAAAGCAUCUACAGAGAAUUGUGCGGUGAAAAGUUUUAACGCGAAUCCUUUGACGCAAUAUUAUAAGAUAAUUCGAAGUUGUAAAAUUGUGAACCGCCGACGAGACAUUUUUAAUCGCAUUUGUCGUAAUUAUGCCAUGUGUGAAUAAAAUCGCGGGAUGCGCGCAUGCGCAGUCGCCAUGUUUUAUUUCCCAUCGCGCCGCGACCGAAUGCAGUCGAAGUGUAGCACCUCCGCGAUUUUCCUUGUAAAAGGGGAUAUCGUGUUGAAAAAACACAUCGGGAAUGUCGAACAAAGUGUCGGGCGAGUGUCGCGUCGUGUUAAUUAAUGCGGGCGAACGCAAUUAGCGAACAUUAGUCAUAAUUUUCGUGCUCGAGCAACCGCGAGUGCUUUUUCGGGUUUUUUGGUGAGACGGCUCGAAGGGAAAAUAGCGCCAAUUCCGGGUAUUCUAGGGCAUUCAGCAGGAGGCUGGUAUACGGAAGGCAAUACUUAUCAGGCGGGUCGUCCCGACGAGCCGGCUUCUAAUCUGGGCAUACAGCGAAAAUUACAUCUUCUUGCACAGGAGAGCCGGUCGACAUCUGCCUAGAGAGAGCAACGACAACGCGUAAAAUUUGGGAGUGCCAUUAAAAAUAUCGCGCGUAUGAGUGCGGGAGUGCCGUUAAAAGUAUCGCGCGUAUGAGUGCGGGAGUGCCGUUAAAAGUAUCGCGCGUAUGAGUGCGGGAGUGUCGUUAAAAGUAUCGUGCGUGUUAAUCAACGAUCCUGACAACCUGAGAGGAGGAGAAGGCCUAGGAGAGGCAUCGGGCACCGGCAGAGCAACCCUAAGAUAACGUAUAACUUGAACAUCAACUACUGAAUAUCAACCGCUGUUGUGCAUCGAUCACGGAGAGAUCGAAGGGGUUGAUACCUCCAUGCGUCGCAGUCGUUCGAAUGUAAAGGUUGAAAUCGGGCACGAUCGCCAGCAAAUGAUCCUCCAAAAAUCUUUCCAACUCGUAUACAACGUGAGGAAGGGGAAAAGAUGGCGGCAAGAUAAUUCCGGACAAGCUGGAAGCGAUGAAAUCGGAGUGGCAGGUGGCAUAAUGGGCACGUAUGGUCCGCAUGAUUUGCAUACCAAUGGUUACCGACGCGAUAUCGAUCGUUUGCCGAACGGCAGAGAAGGGACCAAUUAAGGAUACUACCCAUUUCCACAGCUGUGAGUCGAGAUAUACUCUCGCGCUUACUUCAUGAAAUACUUCUUUAACUCCCGCACAAGCGCUGCCUUGGCGCCAAACACUUGUCGCUUCAUGAUUCAGGAGCUAUCUUGGAAGAAGGGAAAGAAACGUAGAAAGAAGAGGCGAGAGACGGGGAUGGGACGACGAACUGAAGACGAGAGAAGAGAGAGAGAGAGAGAGCGACAUUGAAGAGUAGAGGGGAGAAGAAAGGGUAAAACGAUAAGGGGCAAGUUGAAGGAGGAGAGAACGAACGAAGAGGUGUAGAUCCCGAAGGGCAGAAC